UGGGGAAUUUUCCGCAAUGGGCGAAAGCCUGACGGAGCAAUGCCGCGUGGAGGUGGAAGGCCUACGGGUCGUCAACUUCUUUUCUCGGAGAAGAAACAAUGACGGUAUCUGAGGAAUAAGCAUCGGCUAACUCUGUCCAG
rnacentral:rRNA from 1 species